UACGUAGGGUGCAAGCGUUAAUCGGAAUUACUGGGCGUAAAGCGUGCGCAGGCGGUGAUGUAAGACAGAUGUGAAAUCCCCGGGCUCAACCUGGGAACUGCAUUUGUGACUGCAUCGCUGGAGUACGGCAGAGGGGAUGGAAUUCCGCGUGUAGCAGUGAAAUGCGUAGAGAUGCGGAGGAACACCGAUGGCGAAGGCAGCCCCCUGGGCCAAUACUGACGCUCAGGCACGAAAGCGUGGGGAGCAAACAGG
rnacentral:rRNA from 1 species